rfam:Salpingoeca sp. ATCC 50818 unplaced genomic scaffold supercont1.23, whole genome shotgun sequence.
UCCCCUGUAGUCCAGUGGUCUUAGGAUAUUGAGCUUUCACCUCAAAGACCGGGGUUCGAUUCCCCGCAGGGGAG